AUUGAACGCUGGCGGCAGGCCUAACACAUGCAAGUCGAGCGGAUGAAGGGAGCUUGCUCCUGGAUUCAGCGGCGGACGGGUGAGUAAUGCCUAGGAAUCUGCCUGGUAGUGGGGGAUAACGUCCGGAAACGGGCGCUAAUACCGCAUACGUCCUGAGGGAGAAAGUGGGGGAUCUUCGGACCUCACGCUAUCAGAUGAGCCUAGGUCGGAUUAGCUAGUUGGUGGGGUAAAGGCCUACCAAGGCGACGAUCCGUAACUGGUCUGAGAGGAUGACCAGUCACACUGGAACUGAGACACGGUCCAUACUCCUACGGGAGGCAGCAGUGGGGAAUAUUGGACAACGGGCGAAAGCCUGAUCCAGCCAUGCCGCGUGUGUGAAGAAGGUCUUCGGAUUGUAAAGCACUUUAAGUUGGGAGGAAGGGCAGUAAGUUAAUACCUUGCUGUUUUGACGUUACCAACAGAAUAAGCACCGGCUAACUUCGCG
rnacentral:rRNA from 1 species